AGCAGGAGCGAAAGCUGGUCUUAGUGAUCCGGUGGUUCUGUAUGGAAGGGCCAUCGCUCAACGGAUAAAAGGUACUCCGGGGAUAACAGGCUUCUCUCCCCCAAGAGUUCACAUCGACGGGGAGGUUUGGCACCUCGAUGUCGGCUCAUCACAUCCUGGGGCUGCAGCAGGUCCCAAGGGUUGGGCUGUUCGCCCAUUAAAGUGGUACGUGAGCUGGGUUUAGAACGUCGUAAGACAGUUCGGUCCCUAUCUUUUACGGGCGUAGGAAAUUUGAGUGGAGCUGCCGCUAGUAUGAGAAGACCGUGGUGGACGAACCUCUGGUGCACCAGUUGUCACGCCUGUGGCAUCGCUGGGUAGCUAUGUUCGGAAGGGAUAAAUGCUGAAAGCAUCUAAGCAUGAAGCCUUCCUCAAGAUAAGAUUUCCCACAGAGUUAAUCUGGUAAGACCCCUUGUAGAUAACGAGGUUGAUAGGCCAAGUGUGUAAGCGCGGUGACGUGUUUAGCUAAUUGGUACUAAUAGGUCGAGGGCUUAACUUA
rnacentral:rRNA from 1 species